CUACGGGAGGCUGCAGUGGGGAAUAUUGGACAAUGGGCGAAAGCCUGAUCCAGCAAUACCGCGUGUGUGAAGAAGGCCUGAGGGUUGUAAAGCACUUUCAAUAGGAAGGAAUACCUAUCGGUUAAUACCCGGUAGACUGACAUUACCUAUACAAGAAGCACCGGCUAACUCCGUGCCAGCAGCCGCGGUAAUACGGAGGGUGCAAGCGUUAAUCGGAAUUACUGGGCGUAAAGCGUGCGUAGGCGGUGAUUUAAGUCAGAUGUGAAAGCCCUGGGCUUAACCUGGGAACUGCAUUUGAUACUGGAUGACUAGAGUUGAGUAGAGGAGAGUGGAAUUUCAGGUGUAGCGGUGAAGUGCGUAGAGAUCUGAAGGGACACCAGUGGCGAAGGCGGCUCUCUGGACUCAAACUGACGCUGAGGUACGAAAGCGUGGGUAGCAAACAGGAUUAGAUACCCGUGUAGUC
rnacentral:rRNA from 1 species